UAAUAAACUGGCAGGAGCGAUAUAGAGAAACUCCGAGGGUGGGUGAUCGAAUAGGCCAGUGUAGCCCAGCCGGCACUCCGUCCCUGCACUACAUCUAGUACUGGAGGCGUCUAGUGGCCCAUUCCUUGGGAACGCAGCGAAAUGCCCCGGAAACCAGGCUUUUCAUGAGUUUAUUCGCGUUAGGGGCAAGUCAUGCUUUCCUCUCCUCCUCCGUGAGGGCCUAUAGCGAAGGCUCUCCCCUGCCCAGCUAGUCUACGCUGCACCCAUCUCUAUGACUCCCUCUCCCUCGCUGUGUCUGUAUGUCUAUCUUUCUCUUUGUCUCUCUAUCAGUCUCUCUCUCGAGACAAACAUUUAAGUAUGUGUGUAUGUAUACACACAUACAUACAUACAUACGCUGCUGGUGCAUCAUCCUUGCGUGGAAGCCCUCUCCGAAGCAUCUCCUUCCACUCUGCCAUGGUUAUAAUUUUAAGCCAUAAUACCAACACCCUCUCUUCCACAUGUGCUUGGUUGUGCAACAUAUCUCAUUUUAAUGUGACACCAGUAGAGGUAAUUGAGUUUCUCGAAUUGACAACAAAGGAUAUGAUGCUCGGGCAAAGAGGACAGUGGAUUUACAGGAGAACUCCUUAGGAUUUGAUCUCUUCGACAAGAUUGUCCGUCGGUCAUGCCAAUACUUUUAUGCAGUACAAAGAGGAUAUUGAGUAGGUGUUUACCUUUCCUGGUUUUGAGUAUUAAGCUCAAGUGAAGGAAUUUUGAGGAGCAUUAUAUAAGAAACUUGGCUCUAGAACAGAUGCAAGAAUUUCAUAAGUUAGUAGUUUAGCCAACGCUCCGACGCUUGUCAUUGUAGACUUGAGAAGUCCAGUCUUUCAAAAUCUUAUAUUUCAGUUGGAAUUUUCUUGAGUCCAGCUGCUUUCCUAUCUUGAAUAAAGGUUGGUUCUUUCAAGGAUUUCAUGAAAAUA